AAUGGGUUCGGAGUUAAACUUGUUAAUUGAAUUUGCAAAGUCUAUGAAUAUGAAUGUUAGCAUUUAUUUUGAUUGGUAUAAAGCACCAAGGAUUAAUAUUGGAAUGUUGGAUAUAGAAAGAUUUGUCAUUUCUUAUCCGGUAUCCCAAAUGGAUCUGAAGUUCUUGGUACCCAAACCAAAAUCCUAUAUUGAUUGGUUGAAACUGGCACAUGUUUUCGACCUACAACUGUGGAUGUUAAUUAUAUCCUGCUAUAUGCUCACU